rnacentral:rRNA from 1 species
UACGAAGGGGCUAGCGUUGCUCGGAAUUACUGGGCGUAAAGCGCACGUAGGCGGCUUUCUAAGUCGGGGGUGAAAUCCUGGAGCUCAACUCCAGAACUGCCUUCGAUACUGGAGAGCUCGAGUCCGGGAGAGGUGAGUGGAACUGCGAGUGUAGAGGUGAAAUUCGUAGAUAUCAGGAGGAACACCGAUGGCGAAGGCAGCUCGCUGGGCGGUACUGACGCUGAGGCGCGAAAGCGUGGGGAGCGAACAGG